GGAUGAUGGUACUCGACCUCGUGAUCGAGUAUGUGGUCGAGUGGUGGCGUUGAAGUGGUGAUCGAGUCAUUUGGUGAAGAGCAUGGUCGAGCGCUUGAGAAGCGGUGGAGCUGAUCUACUCGAUCACCGUGGUCGAGUGGUUCCUUGUUUUGUCCCUGAUCAUGCUCGACUGAGUAGGUCGAGUGUGCUGUCUGAUUUGGCUCUGCUUCUCUCAAUCUGCUCACAAGUGGCUCCGAAGCACCUGAAAACAACUCAAAUAUGCAGUAUGCAUGCAAAACUAUCCUAAACAUGUAAAGUGAUGACAAAUGAUGAAGAAUGGUAUGAAACAAUGAUGAAACGAUGCUAAAGUGAUGCUAAAUGGUUGCUUAAAACAGGUAAAAUAUAGACAUAUCAU
rnacentral:lncRNA from 1 species